CCAGAUACGUAACCAUCUCCGUAAUCGAUUGUCGAUGAAAUAAAAUGCAAAAACCCGAUUACGUGUAUUACGCGCAUGCAAGACCAUAAUAUUGUAUUGCAAUAAAAAUGUUUAAUAAAAACGGUUUUAUUAUUUUAAAAUUAAAUUUACAUCACGUUGAAAAGACACGGAUAUUACCUUUGAUAAAAGGACAACACGCUCGUUUUAAUAGAUAACAGAUUUUUCCAAUAUAACCGAGAAUAACCGCCGUAACAACCGGAUGAUAACACCGUAUAUACGGACGUCAUAAUUACCGAUUCGCAAAUUGUUACGCGCUACGGUACGGGGAGUUUUUCUCGGGUCCUUCGAUCUAAAAGAUCAUUUACAUCCGACGUUAUGUCACUACAACCGACGUCGUUAUAAACGGCAUGAUAAAAUAAACACGUGUGUCGGCAGCUUCGCCGUGCGCACAUGGUGGCGGACGAUUUGCGCCUGUUAUCAUUAUCGAUAACGAAUCGUAUUGUUCACGGUUAACACUAGAAGUGUAAAAGUACAAUA